GCUAGCAUAGCAUAAUGGUUUGGGCACUGGAUUACGACUCUGGAGAUCAGGGUUCAAUUCCCCAUUCAGUCA